ACAUGCACACACACACACAGCCACACACAGAAAAUAUACUGUAAAGAAAGAGAUAAAAAUAAAAGUUAAAAAGUAAAAAAAAAAAAAGAAGAACAAAAGAAAUAACUGUUAACUCCAAGGGAGCACCACCCACAGAACCUCCACCAACUGACAGUUUCUCUUCUUGACUUGCCACCCAUCGCUGGAUGUUGUCCACUUUAUUCACCAUAUAAAACAGUAAGCAGCUGCUAAAAACAAAAAACAACAAAAAAAAAAUACAAAAAGUAAUAACAUUAUAUGAACUGUGUUUCCUACUUGAUUAAAAAAUAUAAAGAACUGUUUAUUUCCCUAAUUGACUGAAUUACUAAU
rnacentral:lncRNA from 1 species